rnacentral:rRNA from 1 species
GACGAACGCUGGCGGCGUGCUUAACACAUGCAAGUCGAGCGGAGCGGCGAACGGGAGAGUAACGCGUGAGUAACUGCACCCCCCUCUGGGAUAACAGUUGGAAACGGCUGCGAAUACCGGAUAGUGGGGGAUGACUCGCGUCCUAUCAGCUUGUUGGUGGGGUAGUGGGGUAGCCAGGCGACGACGGGUAGCCGGCCGGGGAGGGCGACCGGCCACAUUGGGCUGAGAUACGGGCCAAACUCCUACGGGAGGCAGCAGUGGGGAAUAUUGCACAAUGGGGGAAACCCUGAUGCAGCAACGCGCGUGCGGGAUGACGGCCUUCGGGUUGUAAACCGCUUUCAGCCAGGACGCGGUAGUGGCAGAAGAAGCACCGGCUAACUACGUGCCAGCAGCCGCGGUAAUAC